AGAGUUUGAUCCUGGCUCAGAUUGAACGCUGGCGGCAGGCCUAACACAUGCAAGUCGAGCGGUAGAGAGAAGCUUGCUUCUCUUGAGAGCGGCGGACGGGUGAGUAAUGCCUAGGAAUCUGCCUGGUAGUGGGGGAUAACGUUCGGAAACGGACGCUAAUACCGCAUACGUCCUACGGGAGAAAGCAGGGGACCUUCGGGCCUUGCGCUAUCAGAUGAGCCUAGGUCGGAUUAGCUAGUUGGUGAGGUAAUGGCUCACCAAGGCGACGAUCCGUAACUGGUCUGAGAGGAUGAUCAGUCACACUGGAACUGAGACACGGUCCAGACUCCUACGGGAGGCAGCAGUGGGGAAUUUUGCGCAAUGGGGGAAACCCUGACGCAGCAACGCCGCGUGGGUGAUGAAGGCCUUCGGGUCGUAAAGCUCUGUCUGGAGGGAAGAAAUGAUUGGGAGCUAAUACCUCUUGAUCUUGACGGUACCUCUGAAGGAAGCGCCGGCUAACUCCGUGCCAGCAGCCGCGGUAAUACGGAGGGUGCAAGCGUUGUUCGGAAUUAUUGGGCGUAAAGCGCGUGUAGGCGGUCUUUUAAGUCUGAUGUGAAAGCCCCGGGCUCAACCUGGGAAGUGCAUUGGAAACUGGGAGGCUUGAGUACGGGAGAGGAGAGUGGAAUUCCUAGUGUAGGAGUGAAAUCCGUAGAUAUUAGGAGGAACACCGGUGGCGAAGGCGGCUACCUGGACCGAUAUUGACGCUGAGACGCGAAAGCGUGGGUAGCAAACAGGAUUAGAUACCCUGGUAGUCCAC
rnacentral:rRNA from 1 species